rnacentral:rRNA from 1 species
GACGAACGCUGGCGGCGUGCUUAACACAUGCAAGUCGAACGGAAAGGCCCUGCUCUUGUGGGGUGCUCGAGUGGCGAACGGGUGAGUAACACGUGAGUAACCUGCCCUUGACUUUGGGAUAACUUCAGGAAACUGGGGCUAAUACCGGAUAGGAGCUCCUGCUGCAUGGUGGGGUUUGGAAAGUUUCGGCGGUUGGGGAUGGACUCGCGGCUUAUCCGCUUGUUGGUGGGGUAGUGGCUUACCAAGGCUUUGACGGGUAGCCGGCCUGAGAGGGUGGCCGGCCACAUUGGGACUAGGAUACGGCCCAGACUCCUACGGGAGGCAGCAGUGAGGAAUAUUGCACAAUGGGCGGAAGCCUGAUGCAGAAACGCCGCGGGCGGGAAGACGGCCUUCGGGUUGAAAACCGCUUUCGCCUGUGACGAAGCGUGAGUGACGGUAAUGGGUAAAGAAGCACCGGCUAACUACGUG